rnacentral:rRNA from 1 species
GACGAACCGUGCGAACGUUGUUCGGAAUCACUGGGCUUAAAGGGCGCGUAGGCGGGUAUCCGAGUCAGGGGUGAAAGCCCCCGGCCCAACCGGGGAAGUGCCUCUGAUACCGGGUGUCUCGAGGGAGGUAGGGGUCGCCGGAACUUCCGGUGGAGCGGUGAAAUGCGUAGAUAUCGGGAAGGAACGCCGGGUGGCGAAAGGCGGGCGACCUGG